UUCGGUAAAGAGCGGCGGACGGGUGAGUAACGCGUGGGUAACCUGCCCUGUACACACGGAUAACAUACCGAAAGGUAUGCUAAUACGAGAUAAUAUGUUUUUAUCGCAUGGUAGAAGUAUCAAAGCUCCGGCGGUACAGGAUGGACCCGCGUCUGAUUAGCUAGUUGGUGAGGUAACGGCUCACCAAGGCGACGAUCAGUAGCCGACCUGAGGGGGUGAUCGGCCACAUUGGAGCUGAGACACGGUCCAAACUCC
rnacentral:rRNA from 1 species